rnacentral:rRNA from 1 species
CCCUCCGUAGGUGAACCUGCGGAGGGAUCAUUACACAAAUAUGAAGGCGGGCUGGAACCUCUCGGGGUUACAGCCUUGCUGAAUUAUUCACCCUUGUCUUUUGCGUACUUCUUGUUUCCUUGGUGGGUUCGCCCACCACUAGGACAAACAUAAACCUUUUGUAAUUGCAAUCAGCGUCAGUAACAAAUUAAUAAUUACAACUUUCAACAACGGAUCUCUUGGUUCUGGCAUCGAUGAAGAACGCAGCGAAAUGCGAUAAGUAGUGUGAAUUGCAGAAUUCAGUGAAUCAUCGAAUCUUUGAACGCACAUUGCGCCCUUUGGUAUUCCAAAGGGCAUGCCUGUUCGAACGUCAUUUGUACCCUCAAGCUUUGCUUGGUGUUGGGCGUCUUGUCUCUAGCUUUGCUGGAGACUCGCCUUAAAGUAAUUGGCAGCCGGCCUACUGGUUUCGGAGCGCAGCACAAGUCGCACUCUCUAUCAGCAAAGGUCUAGCAUCCAUUAAGCCUUGUUGUCAACUUUGACCUGGG